AUUAGGUUAGCAAAAUAAGUGCAAAUAAUUUAGAAUUAUUAUAUAAGAAAAAAUCUUACCUAAUA
rnacentral:tRNA from 1 species